rnacentral:rRNA from 1 species
GAUGAACGCUGGCGGCGUGCCUAAUACAUGCCAGUCGAGCGAACGGACGAGAAGCUUGCUUCUCUGAUGUUAGCGGCGGACGGGUGAGUAACACGUGGAUAACCUACCUAUAAGACUGGGAUAACUUCGGGAAACCGGAGCUAAUACCGGAUGAUAUUUUGAACCGCAUGGUUCAAAAGUGAAAGACGGUCUUGCUGUCACUUAUAGAUGGAUCCGCGCUGCAUUAGCUAGUUGGUAAGGUAACGGCUUACCAAGGCAACGAUGCAUAGCCGACCUGAGAGGGUGAUCGGCCACACUGGAACUGAGACACGGUCCAGACUCCUACGGGAGGCAGCAGUAGGGAAUCUUCCGCAAUGGGCGAAAGCCUGACGGAGCAACGCCGCGUGAGUGAUGAAGGUCUUCGGAUCGUAAAACUCUGUUAUUAGGGAAGAACAUAUGUGUAAGUAACUGUGCACGUCUUGACGGUACCUAAUCAGAAAGCCACGGCUAACUACGUG